rnacentral:rRNA from 1 species
CACGUAGGGUGCGAGCGUUGUCCGGAAUUAUUGGGCGUAAAGAGCUCGUAGGCGGUGUGUCGCGUCGGCCGUGAAAACCUGCAGCUUAACUGUGGGCUUGCGGUCGAUACGGGCAUCACUGGAGUUCGGCAGGGGAGACUGGAAUUCCUGGUGUAGUGGUGAAAUACGUAGAUAUCAGGAGGAACAUCGGUGGCGAAGGCGGCUAUCUGGCUCGAUACUGACACUGAGAUGCGAAAGCGUGGGGAUCAAACAGG